rnacentral:rRNA from 1 species
GAUGAACGCUAGCGGCAGGCUUAAUACAUGCAAGUCGUGGGGCAGCAGGGGUGUAGCAAUACAUCUGCUGGCGACCGGCAAACGGGUGCGUAACACGUACGCAACCUUCCCGUUACUGUGGCAUAGCCCAGGGAAACUUGGAUUAAUACCACAUAUUAUAUAGAGAGGGCAUCCUUUUUAUAUCAAAGCUUCGGCGGUAACGGAUGGGCGUGCGGUUGAUUAGGUAGUUGGCGGGGUAACGGCCCACCAAGCCUACGAUCAAUAGCUGAUGUGAGAGCAUGAUCAGCCACACGGGCACUGAGACACGGGCCCGAGUCCUACGGGAGGCAGCAGUAAGGAAUAUUGGGCAAUGGACGAAAGUCUGACCCAGCCAUGCCGCGUGAAGGAUUAAGGUCCUCUGGAUUGUAAACUUCUUUUCUCUGGGGCGAAAACCAGCUAUUCUUAGCUAUUUGACAGUACCAGAGGAAUAAGCACCGGCUAACUCCGUGCCAGCCGCCGCGGUAACAC